GGGCUUGUGGUUUAGUGGUAUAAUACUCCCUUAGCAUCAGCUUAUAAAUUGGGAGUGGUCCGGGGUUCGAUUCCCCGCGAGUCCA